UCCUAGACACGUAAAUCCUUUAAAGUUGAGCUCGAUAGGUCCGUUAAUUCUUUUUUGUAGAUUUUGUUAAAAAAUGUGUAAAUGUGGCAAAUUAUAGAUGACCUUGUGUGUAACUAAGAUGAUUCAUGACAACUUAAAUUCAUCCCUUCCUAUCUCCCUUAUAUUUAUUCCUUUAAUCUAAAUCCCAAAUCUUAAAAUCUGAAAACCCUAAAAAUGAAAACCAUCCAAUUCUCAAAUUGUUGCAACAAUGUCUUCAUUCAAUGGUUAUCCCUCCCAUUCUCGAAUCCAAGACAAUGCGUUUUCAUAUAAAAUGCGAGGAAUGGUGGAAUCGUUCCUCGUUGUCUUUGUGAACUCAAAGCCAUUGUGAAAACUGUUGAAAAAUUAGGGCCAAAUAGAGGAAGAAAGUUCUAGGGAUGCAUAAAUUUUGUGAGUCAAGACGUUGAUGGUGGUUGUUCAUUCUUUGAUUGGUGUUCAAAAGAUAUUCAUUAGGCUCAUGGUCAGGCUCAGACACAAGCUCAGGUUCAGGGUCAUGGUGUUCCACAUUGUUGAGAAUGUUGACACUCAAAAGGACUAUAAUCAGGAUGAGUGAGAGGGAAAAAUUCUCAAAAAAUGUGAUGACAGUUGUACUUGUAAUUUGUCUAUUGUUGGCAAUAUUUUGUAUCAUGCUGAUAUCCAAGUCUUGAACAUCUAAGUGUGGCUGUUGAAUUUUAGGAAUUGGGUCUGUAGGAUGAAGUCUAUUUGUGUAAUUUAAUUGUUUGGUUGUAUUGAAUAUAUGUAUAAGUCUCAUUUCCAUUAAUCAAAUAAUGUUUAAGUUAUGUAAUUUAA